UACGUAGGGUGCAAGCGUUGUCCGGAAUUAUUGGGCGUAAAGAGCUCGUAGGCGGUUCGUCGCGUCGGCUGUGAAAACCCGGAGCUCAACUCCGGGCCUGCAGUCGAUACGGGCGGACUUGAGUGUUGCAGGGGAGACUGGAAUUCCUGGUGUAGCGGUGAAAUGCGCAGAUAUCAGGAGGAACACCGGUGGCGAAGGCGGGUCUCUGGGUAGUAACUGACGCUGAGGAACGAAAGCGUGGGUAGCGAACAGG
rnacentral:rRNA from 1 species